AUUUAUUCUUGACAAAUACUUUCUCUCCUAUCAGCUCACUUGUUCCUCACAAAAACCCUAUAAGAUAUUAAUAUUAUUAAACAGACCCCUAUGAAGCACCUCAAGUCUUUCUCUCUUCCCACUUCCAUUCUUGCACACCUUUUGCUAGACUAGUCUCUGCGUUCAUCACAUCAGGUUUCUAAAAUAAAAGUCCCCUAAUAACUUUCUAUUUGUUCUCUCAUCAUAUUGAACCUUUUUUGCCUGGCUUAUAAGGUGGCCUUAAAACCCCAUUUUCCUCUAAACAUUGUCUCUGUAGUUCAGGAAUAUGGCAGGCUCAACACUAUGCUUGAGCCCAUAUUGCUUCCCUCAUUAGUGAUGCCUCCUCUCAGACCACCCAGAUUCUACUCAUUCUUCAAUUUCCAGCUUCUCCUUGGAGCCUUCCCAGAUCAUUAGCUUCUUAAAAAUCCCAGCUUUCUCUGAAUUCUGAUGGUAGCCCCCGUUAUUUGGACAAUUAUGUCCUGGUCUUAAAGUCCUAAUGGGAAAAAAAAGUACAUGAUGGACUUCAUGUAGAGAAGAAAGCACUGGACUGAGUUUUAAGACAGCUGCUAAGGAGCUGUGUGAGCCAAACCAGGUUACUUUACCUCUCUGGAUCUAUAUUUGCUGAUCUGUUAAGUGGAGACAAUUGGGUCAGAUAAUCUUGGUGGUCUUUGCUUAUUCUGAGGUUCUUGGACAACUUGGCCUAGUUCACGUGGGAUGGGAUUGAAGAUCUUACUGAGUUCUUGGAUGGAAAUGUCAGUAAUGGGCACUUAGUGCCUUCAGGACUUGUUCUAUACUAUCCCAGAAAUUUCUGAUGCUAAACUUGGCAAUUUUUAAAUGUCAUAUUCCUUUUCUCCAAACUCUUUAACCACAAGAAUUCAGGGAAGGUUAUGGGGGGUGACUUAGUUAUCUGGAUAAUACAUAUUGUGGACAAUAUAGCAUUAUCCUUGGGAAUGAUUUCAUAUUGUUGAAUAAAUAGGAUCAACUUCUUGAUAAACCUUAGUCCCAAGCAUUUCAUCUUCAUUGGAUAGUGUUACAUAGUAAUAUAUUUAUGUUUUCUUUUAAUCAUUUCAUAACUUGGAAAAUACUAACAUAGUCAAAACUCUAGGGUAGGUGAUACAUGAGUUUCUGUAGUAAUCUGGUUGGAGACAUGUUGUAAUUCUGUAUAUAUAUGUACAUUUAUCCCAUGCAUGUUAUGCCUAAACUAAGACGGAUACCCCUGAAUUAAGAGGUGCUGUUAUACAUUGACCAGGCUUAAGAAUAUCUCUUUAAAGUGUGUCGACAUUUAAUUGACCUUUGGAAGUUCAUUCUGUUAAUCAUACUCAAAGUGCUAAAGCUAUGGUUGACUGCUCUGGUGUUUUUAUAUUCAUUCGUGCUUUAGCAUAUAAAUUCUUCAGCAUAAUUGCUACUUAUUUAGCAAGAGUUUCCUUUAUUUGAAAAUGUGAGUUGUGCUUGUAUUUUUGUGUCUUUCUUUCUUUCUUUCUUUUUUUAAACUUUGCUUCAGGCUGGGUAGUGGUAGAGGUUUGAAUUAAAAUGUUUUCCUGUCAGUAGUUGUAUGAGGUGUGGCUUCUUAAUCUAGAAGUAAUGGAAAUUUCUUGCUUAAAUGAAGUGCACUUUUCUUCCUGCAGAAGUUAGAACUCUUUUAGACAAGCUUAACACUUCAAAACUGUAUAUCUUUAACAGAAACUUUUGGAAAUUUUUAAAUUCCAUUUGUGUAGAUUAAAAAUAUCAAUGCUAAUACUUUCUAUUAAAUAAGGAUUUAUCUAUUUUCAUAAAACCUCUAAUUAUAUUCCUUGAAUUGCUAUGAGUAGAAUUUUGUUGUAAACACAAUAUUUUUAAAAAGUCAAAUAUAUUUUAAAAAUCUUAACAUUAUAUUACUAUAACUUAGAGAACAGGUGUUUACAUGUUUAAAAUUUUCUAGGCCUUAAAUUUGUGAAAUCAGUCUUUCAGAAGUUAUUUUUAAUAUAGUUAUCUGUGUUACAGGUUUAUAAGUUGACAUUUCAAUUUAAAAUUUUUUCAAUUUAUAUUUCAAUGACCAGGAAAAAAUAGUUAAACUUAUUCCUAAAUUUUAAUAGAAAAAUAAAAAACCACAUAGUUGUUAAUUUCUGGUAAUUUAUCUUGAGACUCCAGGCAUGUUUUUAGAACAUUUUUACCUUAAAAGCAAUUUUGAAAUAGGGAAAUUAAAGUUUAAAGCAGAGUUUUCACUUUAAUGAGGUAAUUUUAUACUUCCCAGAUAGGUAGGCCCAUAUUCAAGAACACUCUGAUCUCUGUUUAUAGUAAGUUUUGAUGCCAUUAUAUCAUUUACUUAUUCACGCAUUAUAAGCAUAGUAGAUAGCCCCAUUGUCACGAAGCUGGCAUUAUUUUCUUGUCUGUCAUUCAAUAUUGUCCCCUUUUUUUUUUCUGUUUUCAUCAUAGCCGUCCUUUUCAUUUUAUUGUAGCCCUGACUCGAAAUGAAAGUAAGUUUGAACUCUUAAAAAAGAGUUCCUCAAACUCUUUUUUAAGAAUAUACAGUGAAAUGUCUUAAAUAAUAUUAUCUAAAUAAUACCUAAAGAAUGCAAAUGACUUGCAAUGCUGAAUAGUCAGACACAGGAUGUUCCAUGCUAAGGGUAGACUCAUAUUUCCACUUUAUAAAAUGUGGUUUCAGAAAACAAAUAGAUGUGUUUCUUCCUUAAUAAUUAGUGUUUCAGGACCAAAGUUGACUAAAUAUGGAAGUUUAAGAUAAAACCCGGUUUCUUAGGGAAUCUUUCUCAGUCCUUAGUAAUUCUGUAGAAUUGAUGAUAGAGUGGCAACUUCAAUACACUCAGUAUUCUUUUCUGUUUGAAGUCUGUUUUGCCAUUGGAAAAAACUUAUUGUUGUUUGAAUUUGGGUAUAUGUAUUCACAGAUGGUUUACUUUAUUUUUAUUUUGUUUAAACAAAUACUUUCAUGUCCCAAACACUGAGACAUGUUUCAUGUCCUAAACACUUUAUAAAUAUUAGAAUAUUUAAUCCCCUUAACUCUGUAGUUAUAAUUAUCUUCAUUUUACAAUUGAGAAAACUAAGAUACGACGUUUUAUUUAAUGGUAACGCCUUAAGUAAGGGGAGAGUGAUAAGUGUAAGCAGAGUGGAAAACUUAGUAGUGCUAAGGAGCAACAGAAGUAUGUGCAAGAGUUUGGGAAGAUGUGUCUGCUUGGAAAGGAUCAGGGACUCAGCUGGGAUCAGUCUUAAAGAGCAACAUGUCCUCAUUCCUCAAUUUUAAGCCUUUGGGCUCUAGAAGUAAAGGGCAAACUUAGAGGAGGCACUCCUCAGGUUUCAGCUGCCUGUUCCGGCCUGGUGAGGUGGCUGUACUGGCUCAUGUGUUUCUCAUAGGGCUACAUGAGCCUUUAUGUCUUACCUCCUCCUCAUUUCUUGGCUGACUCCUGCUUUUUUGGAGGGUUUAACUUCUCUCUCAGCUAGAAGGUUAGGCAUUGCAAAUACCAGUGGAUAAUUUUUUUCUUAGCUUUAACCCCAGCCCAUUUCAACCCCCUCUUUGCCCUUUGUAUAUUCUUUUGAAAAUAUGAUCCAGUAGUGUUUAUGAAUGUGUGUUGUGUAAAAUUUAGAGAUUGAUGUUAAACAACAGAAUUAAAGGACAAAGCUGUCUUUUUUGUUGGAAUUGGGGAUGGGAGAGCAGCUCAAAGUGGGAAAUAUGGAGAAAGGAGAGACAUUGUGGAAAAGAAGAGAUAAAUUGAGGGGAAAAAAAGAGGAUGAAAAAAUGAAGAGAGAGAAUUACUGAUGUGCUUCACACCCACACCUCCUCUCCAACUUCACAGUAACAGAGGCAAUGUCACUAUCUUUUACCUGACAAGUGCUUUACCAGGGAGUUGUGCCUGGCAUCGUGGGAGUGGAAAAUUUUUCCCUUUUGCAUUUUGAGACUUGGGUGUGCUGCUUUAAGAUGCCACUGGUAUCUAAGUAAUGUUUGUUUAUACUGGAUAUUUUUCUCUGUAGCCUUUGUGGAUUGGACUUAUAAUAUAAACAAUAUUGUUAGCAGAACUGCAGGUACUCUAUUGCUAUGUUUAUUUUAUUAGUUAAAAAACUACCAGAGCCCUAGGACUUCUGAGCACAUUUAGAAAAUACCAGAGGCAAUUUUAAGACUAGCAUUAGAAAGAAAGAAAAGAAUAAGAAUAAAACUAAGACUUGCAUACCUUAGAAUCCUAACCAAUGUGGUGAUUUUUAAAAAUUAAUGUUUCAGAGACUCUAAAUUAGGGUAGUUGGUUUCAUCAAUUACAUUUUUUAAGUUAAUAUAAAGUGCUUUUGUAUGUAAAUUCUCUUAAUAGAUAAUUUAGGUAAAAUGAAAGUGUGGCAUUUUUUGUUCCAUAGAAUGUAAAACUAACGUCAGAAUAAGAAUUCUUUUGGGAAUUUAGGAUUUUUUUGAUGCUUCUCAAAUCAUCUGUAAUGACUUUUAUUUAUAGAAAAGGUAGAUUAUUCAUUAGUUUUUAUGAAAAACACUCAGUUUAAAUAGCCGGGUAUGGUGGCGCAUGGCUGUAGUCCCAGCUACUCAGGAGGCUGGGCACGAGAAUUGCUUGAACCUGUGAGGCAGAGGUUGCAGUGAGCCAAGAUCGCACCACUGCACUCCAGCCUGGUCCAGAGUGAGAUUCCGUCUCGAACAAAACAAAACAAAAAUAUUGAGCUAAUCUAAAUGGUAAAAAUCUAGAUUUGAAGAAAUUUAUUUUAAAAUAGUUGUUCAUUUGUCAAAUAGAAAAGUAUGAUCUUAGCAGGUUUGGUUAGAUCCCUAUCUGAAACAAAGUAAACUAAAGAUGUUUUUCUUGAUCAAUGCAUAGCAAUAACUGCUGUUCAAACAUGUGAGGAAUCACCAGUAAAUUGGGGGAUAGAAAGCAGGAAAAGGAGCUUUUUUCUCUUAUUUUUUUUCAUUUAUCAGUUUUUCCCAUUUGUCCAUCCUUUCCUAUAAUCAUGGAAAUUUUUAUUUUUUACACUCCUCUCCCCAUUUUUUUAUCCUAGAUUGCCACCACACCAAGGUUUUCUAGAGUUAGGCAGAAAGAGAACCUGGGCCUAGAUGCUAAUGGAAACUAUCCCAUGCUUUCUCAGACUCUCUUUCCUCCCCAGAGACAAGAGGAGCAAAACAGGAGUUGAUGGCUCAUUGCUGUUGCUUCUGUGGCUGCCCUGUUUGGUUGACCUGAGCUUUUUUUAAAAACCUCCACUCUUGACGCUUAACUCUAUGAAUAAAAUUAGGGCCAGUCACACUGUAUUUUCAUCAUCAGUUAUCCCUAGUGAUUCAAAUUUAGCACAAACCUGCUGUGAGUACAUAUUAAUUAGGUGAAUACAGUAGAAUGCAAUCAUAACAUGAGUCUUUUAAUAACUAUUCUUUGUUUGAUUUUUAUUUUAGAAGUUUGAAGUUAUUUUGUUGAAAAUCUAGAAAAUCUUUAUGUGAGCAACUGAGGUUCGGGUAGCCCACAACAGUUUAAAUCAAACAUUAACUUGCAGUAAAACACUACUGAAAGUGUCUUUGAUUUUGAGGUGCAGAGAGCUGUUUCAAGUUAAGUUGCUAUAUUAGUCUGUUCUCAUGCUGCUAAUAAAGACAUACCUGCAACCGGGCAAUUUAUUAAAAAAAAAAAGAGGUUUAAUUGACUGACAGUUCCACAUGGCUGGGGAGGCCUCACCGUCAUGGUGAAAGAGCAAGGGAUGUCUUACAUGGUGGCAGGCAAGAAGUUUGUGCAGAGGAACUCCUGUUUAUAAAACCACCAGAUCUCAUGAGACUUACUCACUACCAGGAGAACAGGAUGCGGGAAACCACCUCGGUGAUUCAGUUAUCUGCACCUGGCCCCACCCUUGACACAUGUUGAUUAUUACAAUUCAAGGUGAGAUUUGGGUAGGUACACAGCCAAACCAUAUCAGCUGCCCAUUCUCCUGUGCAGUGACAUAAAGGUCUGAUAACCUGAUUUAAAGCUUGGACUCUAAGAUUUUUUUUUUUCUUUUUUUGAGUCAGGUUAUCUCUGUCGCUCAAGCUGGAGUUCAGUGGCAUGAACAGGGCUCAUUGCAGCCUCAACCUUCCAGGUUCAAGUGAUUCUCUUGCCUCAACCUCCUGAGUAUCUGGGGCUACAGGCAUGUGCCACCGUGCCAGGCUAAUAUUUUUAUUUUUAUUUUUGUAAAGAUGGGGUCUCACUUCUGGGCUCAAGCAAUCUUUCCUCAGCCUCCCAAAGUGCUGGGAUUAUAGGUGCGAGCCACUGCACCCUGCUGUAAAGAAUUUCAUAUCCCUGUUUUCGGUGUGCUGUGUCACUGUUUGCCAUGGGUAAAGGUAUAUGAAUCUCUUUUAUUUUGCUGCUUGCAACCCAAUUCCCAUGCCAAACCCAAUUUGUAUCCAAACAAACAAUAUUGGAGACAAGUUCUUCUAUAGAAAGCUUCAUAAGCCAGUUACUGACUACUGUGUCUGUAAAUAUACUCAAACUAUUUUGUAGUCUUGCUAUUUUAAAAAAUGUGUGGGUGUGGGAAGUGAUGUUGAAUGAAUUCAGGGUAAUUGGUGGUUCUUUGUAUUAGGAAAACUCACUAGUUAAGGGAAGUCUGUUUUCAUGAUUCAUGUAUGUUUAACUUAAAAAAAAAUUCUUCCAUCCUUCUCUCCAGUUUCCACUCUACCUCAUAAAUUCAAGUAAUGAAGGAAUUUAAAUAAUAGAAUUUUAUAACUGAAAGGAUUUUGGAGAGAAUCUAUUAACCCUCCUACUACAGUUGAGGAAAUAGAUGUCCAGUGAGGUCAAAUGAGAUCAUGUAGCUAGUUUAAAAACCCAAAUAACAUUUUAGUAGUUUGUUUCCAUUAGUAAACACUGUUCUGUUUGAUUUGCCCUAACAUGUUCAUAAUCAGAGUCAUAAUAAGGAAAAAUCACUAAUAUGUGUGUGGUACUUUCUUGUGCAUACCUCAGUCACUUCUCAAAAGAGGUCUGUAAGGUGUCGGUAUCCUGGUUUCCAUUCAGGGAGAGAACAGUCUAUGAGCCUAAGAGACCUGUCUGUGCCAGUCACUAUCAGAACAGUCUAAUGCUAUGUGUCUUCCUACCUUGGCAAAAGCAUUGGCUGGUCUCUGGACAGUUCUCAUAGACCACAGGAUUGGGCAGGGGGGAGCCACAUCUUCAUGUUAGGGCUCUAACCUGUACCAAUUAUUAACUGUUGUCUCUAUUUCAUCAUUUCUUAAAGGGAAAAAAAAGCACUUUUUAAAGAGCAUGAGAUUUUAAAUUUUUCAAAAGAAGGAUGCUGGAUCAUUAUAAGUAAGGCAUGUUUUAAAGAUCUUCUUAUCAACAGCUUAAAAAUUAGCCAGUAUAUACUGAACAUCCACUGUAUAAAAAGCACAUUAUGGGGUGCUCCAGUAGGUACAGCAGUGAUCGAGACAGAAUCAUAGCCUUCAGGGAAGAGGUAUAUGCAAUGUUCUCUCCUUCCAAAGAUUACCUAGAUAGAGAACUGUUCAUAAGAAAUAUCUUGGUACUGUCUACAUUACUCUUGAGAUAUAAAAUAUAUAUUAUUUCUUACGUCUGAAAUGAGUCAGUUGUUUCUAAAACAAUUUGUAUUAAAGUAUUCACAUUAAAAAUUUGUAAAAUACAGAAAAGUAGAGAGAAAAAAUCAUGAAUUUUUAACAUGGUAAUGAUUAUAUCAGUUUCGUUCUUGGCGUUUCUUUAACUUGAUGGGAUAGCUAAUGUUUUUUGUCAUUGCAUAGCUUUGUAAACUUGUCCUAAGGAUUAUAUAAUUUCAGCAUGAGUUAGUUUCUAAUGAAUGAGUAGCAGAUUACUUUCUAGUAUUUCUUUAAGGUCACCAAAAUCACUUAACUUGCUUAAAAUAUUGAUGGAAAUAUCAACUACGUACAGUUGACCUAAAUUAGAAAUGGGUGUUUUUUAAAUAGUGAAAUUUAUAAAUAUAAUAUGUAUAUUUUAAAAUACAGUUUAUAUUAUAGAGUUAUGUUCCUCUGUAAUAAUUUCUCUUUACACUGAAUCAUGUUCAGUUUUUAUUAUGCAGAUAAUUUAAUCUUACAGCUUUGAUCUUUUUUAAAAAAUAAAACAGCCAUUUGGAGUCUAAAUUCAGCCAUGUGAUUAUUACAAUGAAAUUCAUCUUAAAUCUACCUAAUGUCCCUUUAGAUAUAAGACCUAUUUCAAUAGAAGGGCGUUUCUUGGUUAGGGUUGCUCUUCCCGAGAGGAGUCUCCUGGAGCAGGAGCCCCUGGGGAGGAGUGAACUGAGCCAGCAGGUGGUCUAAGGGAGGUGCCAGGGAACUGCUGACAGUGACUUGCCUGAAGGAAGGGAGGGAGCAGGAUGGGAGUGGGGUGGAAAGUCCCUUAUUAGCCUGGAGGCUGGGAUGCCCUGACCCUCUGGAAUCCCCCUCCCUUGUAAGAAUGCCAGCCAAAGUAGGAAGGAGGAGCUCCAGCCAGAUGGGGGUCCCAGUGCAGGAGGAAGAUAGUAGGGUGACCACAACCAAAAAAGCUGUCUGACAGGCUUUGAGAUCUCUUGUCUGAGGAACUCCGGCAUAGAUAGUAAGUCAGUAUUCACUUAGAGGAGAGUUUGGCAAGUGAAUAUAUAUGAUGAAUGAAUGAGUAACUGAAUGAACUGCUUUAUCACCAAAGGAUCUGGAUAUUUGUUUCUACUCUCAAACAUUUUUUGAUUUGUUAACUUUUUAUGCCCAAUUUUAAAAGAAAAUGCAAUUUUCAUUGAACUAUGAUUGACUACUUCAUAUUUAUUGAAACCCACACCCUCCAGUACUCCACAAAUGAUUCAGAAAAGCUUACAAUAAAAAAAAUCAGAAUAGAAAAGUGAGUAACGGAUGUGAUUUCAAUUCUCCAAGCCUGUUGUCCUUAUCUGUGAUGGUAAUGAUUAUAGAUGCCUUAUCUUGCUGUGGCAGGGAUGAAAUGAGAUCAUGUGCAGGCAUUAUUUGUCAUACAACAAAUACAUAGUUGAGGUUGUAUUAAAAUUAAGGCUUUAAACUUGAGUACAUACACUUUUGCUUAAUUCUCAAUUUAUUUUUCAUUACCAUUUUAUCAGAGAAUGAUAUUUAAGCGAUACUCAUUUCUAGAGUAGAAGAGAUUUUAUUCCUUAUAACUGUAAACUCUAUACUAUCCAAGAUAAUACUCUUCUUCCUAGAAUUUGAAUUCGUUAACAAUCUUUCACAUUUUCACAAUCCAUGGGAAAUCACUCCCAGUAAAUGCUUACAGCAUUCGUCCACUUUCAUGAGGCAAGGAGUAGGUAGGUCUGUAUUUGUAUUAAUUACAAAGAAAUUCAAGGGAAGGUUCAUCAUUAUCAUCGUUAGCAGGAAAUAUAAUGAAUUAGAAGCCCUUGAAUUGGACUAAAAGAGUGUGGAGUAUGUGUAAAAGAAUGAAUCAGAGAAGGUAAAGAUUAAUUUUAAAGGGCAGAAUUUUGUUUGUACAUUUAGGUCACUUCAAUUUCAGAUCAGUUCUAUGUAUGCUUUCUAGAAAAGAUAUCAAAGACCACCUAGAUUUCUUGCCUUUAGGUGUGUUUUACCAAAGGAACAAGACAGAAGAUGAAUGCCAAAACUAUUAAUGCAGCUACCCUGGACACUAAGCCCCCAAAGAGAUGGAGGAUUGGAGGAUGUAGAGCCUGGGCACUGGGUCCAGUGCUGACAUGGAACAUGUUCAUUCUUAGAGUUUCACUGCAAACACUCCAAGGAUAGAGAGCGAGAAGGUUAUGUGGACAUGAGAGGAGAAGGGUGGAAGAGGAUUGAAUGGUUCAGGGUAGCUAAAAAAAAUUUUUACACUUUAUCUCGGGCUGCUUCUAAACCCUCCACCAGAAAGAAUUAAUCCUGCAAGCACUUAAAACAAAACUGAUGUGAGGAAGAUAAUAAAACCUGUCCAGGGUACAGACAUCCAGAUUUGCAAUUUAGGGUGGGAAGACUUUAGAGACCUUGUCUAACAGGGCUAAAGAGUAUCCUUAUGGUUUUAAAGUAGGUACAUUGUUUUUUGUAAGCAUUUCUAGGGUUAUAUAAGACAAAUCAGAGUCUGAUGUAUUGAACACAAUUGGAUCUUAUUCUGCCAUAUUUGUUUUUAAUUCACGAUUUUUAAAUGGAUUUACUGGUCAUAUUUCUCAGGUCAUGGCAAGAUUUUUUAGUCUUAAACUUAUUUAGCUCAGUCCUUCUAGAUCAAUGGUUCUCUGCCCUGAAGGUGUAGCAAAAUUGUUUGAUAGCUUUUGCAAAAUUUACAUACCCAGCAGCCUCCCCAUCAGCUGAAUAAGAAUUGCAAUGUGGAUGUGGCAGAGGCAAUCAGGUAUGUGGGGUUAGAAGAAGCUGUCCUGGUCAUUCUGUUGCCACCCUCUCACUUGGAGAAUUGCUGAUCCAAUGAAUUCCUUAACAUAACUUUGAAAACACAGCGUUUUGCUCAGAACUUCAUGAAUAAACAUCAAAUUUUCACUAAACAAAAUAAUUAAAGACCAUAAGAUCUUAGUUAUAAUACUUCAUAAAUGGAAAAGCACUUUAUUGCCUGUAUGUAUGUGGGCUCCUCUUUUAGCAAGAUAUGAGCUAGGUGAAGUCUAUGUGAAAGCUAAAGCAGAUUUAUUCCAGUCAGAUGCCAGACAAUUUUACCAGUUUAACUGAGACUCAUUAUUACUUAAACUACAUGCUUGUUUUUUUGGUUACUGAGUAGUAUAGGUCCCACUUGGAUCAGCAAUUCUCAAAGUGAGAGGGUGGCAAUAGAAUUAUUUAAGUAAUUAUUUGUUAUUUGAGGUUGUUUGCUUAGUAUUUACUUGUCACUGUUUUACAUGUUAUUUAAUAAUUUACAGUUAUUUAAAAGUGGUAAGAUUCCAAGGCAAGUAGGGGACCUGUCACUUUGAGAAAAAUUUAUGGUGGUAAAAAUAUUUUCUUUUUGUAAAGAGUCACUGAUAUACAAUGUCCCCCCAGGGUGUAAGCCUUGGUAUUUAUCUAUUUUAAUUAAAGAGUACUCUGCCUGUCUAGUCGUGGCUAACUUAAAAGAAGUGGGUAUCUUGGUGAGAAGUUCACAAGGUUGGUAGCCAUAGCUGAGUUUGGUGGAUUGACUCAAGCUCUAGUCAGCAGUGGUAUAUGAAUGCCAAGUACUAAGAAUUUCUGGAAUGUAGAAUUGCACAGCACUGAUAAAGUUUGCUUUGUUCCCCUGUGUGACUUGACCCAUUGAGAAAACUGGUUCCCUAGGAAGUUUUAAUAGUUCAAAGUCCUUAGUUAAUAAAGAAAAAGGCCACAACAUAAUUCAGCUUGUUUUCACCUGCUGACUCAAAGAUUAACUUUUUUAACCUUAAUGGGAUAGAGUUACCCUUUGCUUUGAGAAAGUAAUUUAUGGAGUUCUUCAUAUUUGUUAGUUUCAGUAAACAUGAUGCUUUUUGUGUGGAUUUUAUUUUUGUUUCGGGUUUGAGAUCACAAACUACUAAGACUUACACAAUUUAAGAACCUUACGGUAACUUCAUCUAAAAACAAAUCUCAGGGAAAGGCACACCCACUUUUCUGUAUCAACUUAAUCUUUCACUAGAUUCAGAAUGGUUUUGAAUUACUUCAGGAAAGUAGUGACUGAUAGAGCUUAACCUUCAGUUUUCCUCAUUUAUUUUCAUAAGAGAAUGGGAGUGGAAUUCAAAACAUUCAAAUUUGGAGUUAAUGUGCGUCACUGUUGUGAGUGAUAGGUUCUGUGUUUUUCCAGUGGGAAACUUUGAUCCACAUACUGAUAUAUGCCUGUGUUAUACCUCGUUAUUCUUUUCUGUUUUUCUCCUGAUUGUUGCUUACUCUUUCAAAAAUCAGCUGACUGUACAAGUCCUCUCUGGGAGCAGACUUUAGAGCAAAAGUGAUCUAUAAAAGCAGCAUGUAAGUCUUUUUUUUUUUUGUCAGAGUUUAUAACUUUCCAAGUAGACCUUUUAUAUUUUCACGGUAGUCUAAGUUCACUCAACUGCAGUAUUUGAUGUUAAAUGUACGCUUUACGCUGUUAAGAUAAUUUAGUUUCUGUGUUUGGUCACUUUUGCUUAAAGGAUUGUAAUUACAUAAUGCAUGUUGAAAUCAUAUUAAGUAACCUGGCCACUUGCCUAUUUACUUCUUGUGGCUAACAAUAAUGAAUGAAACCAUUUAUAUAUGUUGUUUUAGUAUAUCACAAAAUUUUAUAGAAACUAGAAGCUCGGUGAUGAAUAAUAGACAUCCAUGAGCCUUCUUAUUUGUUUUGAAUUUGAGACAUUUUCUAGAAUAUUGCUGUUUGAAUGAGGCUUCAGUACUUUACAGAAUCGUUGCCUGCACAUCUUGGAAACACUUGCUGGGAUUACUUCUUCAGGUUAACCCAACAGAAGGCUAAAGAAGGUAUAUUGCUGUUGACAGUGAGCGACUGUAAACAUCCUCGACUGGAAGCUGUGAAGCCACAGAUGGGCUUUCAGUCGGAUGUUUGCAGCUGCCUACUGCCUCGGACUUCAAGGGGCUACUUUAGGAGCAAUUAUCUUGUUUACUAAAACUGAAUACCUUGCUAUCUCUUUGAUACAUUUUUACAAAGCUGAAUUAAAAUGGUAUAAAUUAAAUCACUUUAAAACCAUGUCUGUACAUUUUUAGAGGGCUUCAGCAGGGCAUUGAGGAGGUGCUCUGUGUAUGCAUAGAAUUUGCAAUAUCAAAAAGAAAGUAUUCGUAAGAGAAAUGAGGAAAUGUGUUACAGUAUUUUUAUUUUUUUUAAAAGCGUAGUAGGGCAAUAUUUCCCAGAAA
rnacentral:lncRNA from 10 species